rnacentral:lncRNA from 1 species
CAAUCAACGACUCAUUCAUCCCCUUCCACAUCCCUACCUCCUGCAGGAGCGAGCAACAAGUUUGUUGCCCUACUGUCCUCUCUUGUUCUCCCGAUUGGUGUCGCAAGAGCUAAGUAUGCGGUUCUUGGAUACGGCGGUUGCGGACGCAGAUCGAACGUCUUUGAGGCGUGCACCUGCAUCAGCGUCAAAGGUACCUCGCUCAUGGUCCAUACUCAUUGACCUCCUCUUGUCCAUCCCCUCUCUCUUGAUCUCAAAUAUUCAUGUCUCCCAGAUCUAAUCCACUGCAUCGAGG